CACGUAGGGGGCGAGCGUUGUCCGGAUUUAUUGGGCGUAAAGAGCUCGUAGGUGGUUCAGUAAGUCGAGUGUGAAACCUCCAGGCUCAACCUGGAGACGCCACCCGAUACUGCUGUGACUAGAGUCCAGUAGGGGAGCACGGAAUUCCUGGUGUAGCGGUGAAAUGCGCAGAUAUCAGGAGGAACACCAGUGGCGAAGGCGGUGCUCUGGGCUGGAACUGACACUGAGGAGCGAAAGCGUGGGUAGCAAACAGG
rnacentral:rRNA from 2 species